rnacentral:lncRNA from 1 species
GGUGUUGCACCACAUCCUCAUCGCUGUUGUCCAAUUCCUCAGGCGGGGCCAGCAGGUCUUCCUCAAGCCGGACGAACCGCCGCCGCAGCCAUGCGCCGACAGCCUGCAGCCAGCCAGGACCCCCUUGCACAGAAGCCAGAGCCCCCAGGGAGUAGAGACGACCGACUGGAGGAUGCUUUGCUGAGCCUGGGCGCCGUUAUCGACAUCGCGGGCCUUCGACAGGCUGCCAAGGAUGCCCUCUCGGCCGUGCUCCCCAAAGUGGAGACUGUCUACACCUACCUGGUAGAUGGGGAGUCCAGGCUGGUGUGUGAGGACCCCCCUCAUGA